CUUCUUUUCUCUCCCUAUUUCCUUCCCCGCAUGCCCGUGCCCCGCUUCCUCACCCGAACCGUGCCCUACGGCGCCGACGCCUCCCAACCGAUGCCGGCAACGCUCGCGACUCCUCUCCUCCCCGAGCCUUACAAAACUCCUCUACUCAGCAUAGCAGCGGUGAUCCUUUCCUCUUCCCGUUGCUGCCACGGCGAGUUCCCCCUUCUUCUCCUUCUUCUCCCUAGCAAGCGUCGGCAAUGCGCAAGCCACCACCGGCCGAGCCCUUCUACCGGUGCCCUACCGUCUCCACCACCGCCCUUCUCCCUACUCGAGUCGUGAUUGCGGCGACGAGACGAGGCUGAGCGCCGGCGCCAAUCGAUCACCUACCCGUCGUAGAGACCUCAGUCAUUGCUAGUCCGUGCCCUAGCCAGCCUCAACGCCGCCCCGUACGAGUUGAUCUCCAGCCAAGGGGGAAUCCGAACCCUAGCUCCGUUGGGUUUGGUUGCAGUCAGUUUUCUAUACAAGUUGUUUUUUUCUCCAGCGCUUUGGAAUCAGUUUACUGUCGGUGACCUGUUCCUUGCUGAUCACCAGGUUCUGCCAGCCACCUAUUUACCCUUCUUUUGGAUCUGAUCGGGUUGCAGAUUAGGGUUUCCUUCGUUUCUGGUCACUCAGUUGCUUGGUUCCAGCUUUGGACCCAACCGCUGUAGCUCCGGUUGUGAGCAAAGCACACACGGAUUUUGGGACUUUGAUACGAGACGACAUCUCGACGAGGGAUCUAUUUCAGAUACGAUCCUCUUAUUGGAGGUUGAGGCUGUCCGGAGGAGUUCCAGUCGCUAGUCCCCUGCAGAUCUCGAGGAUGUGUGUUUUUAUCUUUUGAUUUUCUUAUUACUAUCUAGAGUUGUUCUGGUUUUUGACACUUGGAUAUUGUAUGGUUUUAUUGUCGAUGGAUUUUAUUAGAUAUGUUUUGUUACAUACCUGCCUGGACGGCAGAAGAGGUGAGUUGAUUUUAUCGUUGUGAUUUGUGUUUUAUGGGUGU